ACAGGGAUUUAAACCUUAAUAUUGUGUGAAGGUUCACCAAGAUGCCAAACUGUGGCUGGCUACAGCUUCAGCACAGCUCGUAACAAUGCAGGCCAUGACAUGCCAGUGUGAUGGAGCGUGGUGAUGUGCUGACUGGGAUCUGCAACCUGCUCCCUGUGUCCACAUGGGGUAUGAGGAAUGCCAAGCAGUGCCCACUGUGUACCCAGCUGUAUUCGUGCUCUCAGCCAGCAGCCCUUCAAGGGCAGCCUGUGCCAUGUUCAGCAGAGGGCUCAGCUGCCUGCCCUGGUCCCAGGACAACAGCCUUCCAAUGGGAACUUACCUUAAUGACACUCGAUUUACAGUGAGCCCAAAGCAGCAAAGGACUCUUUGAAAAUCUCUGGAGCGCCCACUGUGAAUAUACAUAUCAUCACUUACCCAUGUUACAGCUAGAACGCACAACCAAGGCUGUGGUUUCCUGAAAGCGAAGAGCUGGGUGCAGCUCUGCAAACCUGGGUGUUUGCUCCCAGCAGCAGCUGUGAUUUGGGCUGAGGUAGGACACACAUUGCAGCAGCUGGGUGAGCAGAUGGAAAACAGGUCUUUGACUGCUAGCCACUGCCCCAGGUAGUGUCUGGGACCACGAGAACUGCUCUUUCCUCUGUGCCUUCUGGGGUUUAGGAGAAAGGGGUAUUCCUCUCUUUCACUCCAGGAUGAUAUUAAGAAAGGAGAAAGGGCAAGGAGAACAGGAUUUCAUUUCUUCUUUCUCCUUCCCCAAGAAUAAUGAAUUUGUUGGUCUGUCAAAAAGAGGGCAGCAAGUAAACUAUAACCCAAGGAAUGGGGUGGUCCAGCACUGGGAGCUGGUCAUGGGUUCCCUUAAUCAAACUCCUCUUUGCUGAGUGUCACCUGCCUUUUCACAUGCACCAUCCAUCCCAAGCACUGCAAGGUAACUUGCAGGAACCUCAACAGGACCUGUGUUGGAGCCUCUUUCUUGGGCUAGCAGGACAUGCCCAUGGCAACCAGACUUUUGGUAGAGAGGUUGGAGAUGAGCAGGCAGGCUGUGGUGGAUGGCUCCAGGGUGACCGGUGUCCCGUCUUGCCACGGAGGUCAAUAGAAGUUUAGCCGCUGACAUCAUGAACAGGAUUGCAACCCGUAUCUGUGAUUAGUGAUGAAAUGAAACCCACAGCUUGAAAUCAUUUAUCCAUCAUAUCCGAUCAAACACAAACAUCCUCUGCACUUGCAAAUAAAUGAGGGUUGGAG
rnacentral:lncRNA from 7 species